rnacentral:rRNA from 1 species
CCUGGUUGAUUCUGCCAGCAGACAUACGCUUGUUUUAAAGACUAAGCCAUGCAAAUGCCAGUAUAGUGAAUUCUACUGCGAGACUGUGAACGGCUCAUUACAUCAGUGACAAUCUCCUCGAUUAUAGAAUGUACUGGGAUAUCGGUACUAAAGAACCGCUAAUACCUGCUAAGACACUGGACUAGGCGCAAGCCUCGGAACAGUAGCACUUGUUGGCUCUGAAAAAUCGACGGGGGGUCGCCGCCCAAGGCGGCUCCUGUCUGACGGUGAAUUACAACAAUUUCGCGAAUCGCAUGCCGCGAGGCGGCGAUGUUUCGAAUGAGUCUCUGCCCUAUUAAGUUUCGAUUGUAGUGUAGUGGACUACAAUGCUUGUGAUGGGUAACGUGGUAUCAGGGUACGAUUACGGAGAGGACGCCUGAGAAACGGCGACCAAGGCUAAGGCCUGCAGCAGGCGCGAAAAUUACCCAAUGAAGACACUUUGAGGUAGUGACGAAAAAUAACUAGGAGAGAGGCUUCGCCUUUUUCUAUAGGAAUGAGUUAGAUUUAAAAGAGCAAACGAGGAGCAAAUUGAGGGCAAGUCUGGUGCCAGCAGCCGCGGUAAUUCCAGCUCAAUUAGCGUAUUCUAGCGUUGUUGCAGUUGAAACGCCCGUAGUUGAAAGUAGAGUCACAGCGUCGAGGGGGCUGGUCUCCCGAGGCGGUUCGUGGCUUUUUCUGCAAGAUGCUCGCUGUGGCACUUUACUGGGUCGCAGAGUGAGGUUUUGCUCGUUAACCGUUCUUAGUUAGUGAUGUGAAUUGUCUGCUUUAUUGCGAUAACUAGCGAGACCACUGCGACUUUGUACGACGACCGAGUGCGCAAGUGCUCGGCCGCCUCGUUAUAGUCGGACAGCGGCGGUCACGCCGAGGAAGUUGGUGGCGAUAACAGGUCUGUGAUGCCCUUAGACGUCCACGGCUGCACGCGCGUUACACUGAGGGGGUCAACAAGUUUCACUUGCGCGAAAGCACUGGUAAAUCUUUGAAACCCCCUCGUGCUAGGGAUCGAGAGCUGGAACGUUCUCGUGAACGAGGAAUCCCUUGUAUGCGCGAUUCAUCAAAUCGCACAGAAUACGUCCCUGCCCUUUGUACACACCGCCCGUCGCUGUUUCCGAUUGAAACUACUGGUGAGGUUGAUGGAGAUGGCGUGUCCUGGCGCAAGCUAGAAUCGUUGUCAAAGUCAAUCAAAUCAUUAGUUUUAGAGGAAGCAAAAGUCGUAACAAGGUUUCCGUAGGUGAACCUGCGGAAGGAUCACU